UGUUAAAAUAUUUAUUCAUUUUUACUGUUAAAAACUGGUGUAGCUAACAGAAUAAUCAGACAAUUAUACGUGGAGUGUCAUGUGUACCUCAUGCUUACAUAUAGAGACCAAUUUUUAACAUUAUAAAUAUAUAAAAAUUUUAACA
rfam:Gossypium arboreum cultivar AKA8401 contig_16611_3, whole genome shotgun sequence.